rnacentral:rRNA from 1 species
GACGAACGCUGGCGGCGUGCCUAAUACAUGCAAGUAGAACGCACAGUUUAUACCGUAGCUUGCUACACCAUAGACUUUGAGUUGCGAACGGGUGAGUAACGCGUAGGUAACCUGCCUGGUAGUGGGGUAUAACUAUUGGAAACGAUAGCUAAUACCGCAUAAUAUUAAUUAUUGCAUGAUAAUUAAUUGAAAGGUGCAAGUGCACCACUACCAGAUGGACCUGCGUUGUAUUAGCUAGUAGGUGAGGUAACGGCUCACCUAGGCGACGAUACAUACCCCACCUCAGAUGCUGAUCGGCCACGCUAAGACUGAGACACGGCCGACCUUCCGACGAGAGGCAGCAGUCCGGACUCUACGGCAAUGGCCGACAGUCUGACCGCGCAACGCCGCGUGAGUGAGGAAGCUCUCCGGAUCGUAAAGCUCUCUUGUAGGAGAAGAGCGGGUGUGCGCGUGCAAAGUUCACCCUGUGACGGUAUCUUACCAGAAAGGGACGGCUACCUACGUG